GUUAGGUAGGCAGCUACAGUAGCUGAAUGAUGUUAACAUCUUCAGGUUUUGUUUCAUUAAAUGUAUUUUAUUUUAUCUGGGUGCUUACGUCACCUACUGACACCCUGGUACUACCCAUAGAUCCCGCUCUCCUCAGUCUGAGAAAACACUGAGAGAGAAAGAACAACUUGUCAGGUGGUGCAUUGGAGACUGAUGUGUUCCUGUCCUGUCUUUUCAUAAUACUAUUGCAGAUCGACAUAAAAGCCUAAAAGACAGCCGUGGUGUUGCUCUUCAUUUCUUGGUUCUCCUGUGGUGCAUAAGAAACCCGCUACAGAUUGGUGCCGUGACCCGGAUCAACAGAUCAGCUGCAGCAGAUCGCCGAGGGACCCCUAAACAGAACUGGAUCGACAUCACACGUUUAAAACAUUUGAGGGCAAGAACAACUUGUCAGGUGGUGCAUUGGAGACUGAUGUGUUCCUGUCCUGUCUUUUCAUAAUACUAUUGCAGAUCGACAUAAAAGCCUAAAAGACAGCCGUGGUGUCGCUCUUCAUUUCUUGGUUCUCCUGUGGUGCAUAAGAAACCCGCUACAAUUGCAACUUGCUGAAAAGUGUCAACAAUGUUCCUUUCAUCGAGUUUAAACAGUACAGCAAAAUGGUACUUACAGAGUGACUCAAACAAGAUUUAGACCUUGUUUAUGAAAAACUGUUUAUUUCUGUAUUUCAUGAUUGCAACUUGCUGAAAAGUGUCAGCAAUGUUCCUUUCAUCGAGUUUAAACAGUACAGCAAAAUGGUACUUACAGAGUGACUCAAACAUGAUUUAGACCUUGUUGAUGA
rnacentral:lncRNA from 1 species